rnacentral:rRNA from 1 species
CGUCUAGGCGGAGGCGUAAGCGGGAUGUGAAAGCUCCUGGCUCAACUGGGAGAGUGCGUUCCGAACUGCGUGUCUAGAGGCCAGGCGAUGGGGGUGGAAUUCCCGGUGGAGUGGUGAAAUGCGUAGAGAUCGGGAGGAACACCAGUGGCGCAAGCGGCCCCCAAGCCUGAGCCUGACGCUGAAGCGCGACAGCGUGGGGAGCAAACG